AGAGGAUGGGAAUACUGGAGAGGUAAGAAGUCUUCAUAAGAGGGGCUCAGGAAGGUCAGACAGAAGAGAAGGCAGUGUGAUGACGGAGGCAAAGACUGGAGUGAUACAGCCACAAGCCAAGGAGUGAUGGUAGCCUCUAGAAUUUCACCAGGAAGAGAAGGUAAAGAGGUGCCCAAGACUGGGAACCAUGGAUUUAAGGGGGACCCAAAGUAAGAUUAAUGCUGCGUUCAGGGCAUAACAGGAAGGACUGCAGAGGUGGGUCAAGAGAGGAGCGUGGGGAGCAGCC
rnacentral:lncRNA from 1 species